CCUACGGGUGGCAGCAGUGAGGGAUAUUGGUCAAUGGACGAGAGUCUGAACCAGCCACGUCGCGUGAAGGAUGACUGCCCUAUGGGUUGUAAACUUCUUUUAUAUGGGAAUAAAAUGUUCCACGUGUGGGCUUUUGUAUGUACCAUAUGAAUAAGGCUCGGCUAACUCCGUGCCAGCAGCCGCGGUAAUACGGAGGAUCCGAGCGUUAUCCGGAUUUAUUGGGUUUAAAGGGAGCGUAGGUGGAUUGGUAAGUCAGUUGUGAAAGUUUGCGGAUCAACCGUAAAAUUGCAGUUGAAACUGGCAGUCUUGAGUAAAGUAGAGGUGGGCGGAAUUCGUGGUGUAGCGGUGAAAUGCUUAGAGAUCACGAAGAACACCGAUUGCGAAGGCAGCUCACUGGACUGCAACUGACACUGAGGCUCGAAAGUGUGGGUAUCAAACAGGAUUAGAUACCCGUGUAGUC
rnacentral:rRNA from 1 species